CUCCUAGCUCUUUCUGAAAGUAUAAUUCAUAACCUAUGAUCUUUCACUCCUGUUUCACAUUUAAAAGAAAAUUGAUCUGCCUUGUAAAUAUGUGCAAUUUGCAUGCUAUCAUAUACUUGCUGACAUGUUCUCUUUCUUCUGUUGGGCUGUGAGGGUUGAGAGAUCCACCAAAGCAAGAACCAGGUCUUCCUCAAGCCUUGUCUCUCUGGCUUCUCCAGGCUUGCUGAGCGAUAACUGAUCUGCUUUUCAAGCACACCAAGCUCCUUCCCACCUCAGGGCCUUCCCACUUGCUGUUCCCUCUGCCUGGAAAGCUCUCCCUGGGCAUUUUCCCACAGCAGACUCCUUCUCAUCAACAGGUAUCACAGACCACGUCGCUGGGAUACCUCUUCUGACCCCAUAUAAAGGAGCCACCAAUCUCCAGCCACUCCAUCACAUGGCAUAUUUUCCUUUCAGUAACCUCUCAUCCCAUACCUACGGUGGAUAGCAAUCAUUUGACCCCUGAUUCCUGCCAUAGGAAUGGGCCUGUGACCCAGGCUGACCAGCUAUUCCCUUGGACUUGGAAAUUGAACCAGGAGAAGAAAUGAUCCCCACCCCCACCUCCAAGGAGGGCCAGUUAACAGUUUAUGAAGAGACUGAUGUGGACCUCUUUAGGUAUCUGAAAUUAUGAGCUUCUAAGUGUACUUUUGUUGUCAAGCAGAGCAAGCCGACCUGAGAGUUAAACCAAAGCAGAGAAAGGAUUGCUGAAAAGUAGAAAGCUGACAUCUGUCUCUGUUCAGUUUGAACCCUUGCAUCCAGCUAUAUCUGAAGUCAGGUCUCCCAAACUUCCCAGUUAUGUGAGACCUAACUCUUUGGUUUACCUGCAAUCAUAAGGUAAAUAUUGGUAACUAGAAGUGGAGUACAGCAAGUUUCGGGCCUUGACACAAAGAACUGGGUGAAUUGAGGUAUGUAAGUGGGAAUGAGGAUUCUUCUGUCCCCAUCUAAGAACUGUACACUGGAUUGUAGGGUAACCACACAUGUUAUAUUUGGAAAAUCUGAUCAAGUCUUCUAUGGCUAGUGUUUUGGUGACCUGAAAAUGUCCAGAACUUGGAAUAAGUUGAUGAUUUUUUGAUGCUUUUAAUAACUUCGAUAAAAUUAUGGCCUUCAUCAAGCAGUUAAGCAUAUUGUUGGGAUAUGGCCCAGCAAUUCCACUCCUAGGUAUUCCAAAAGAAAUACAAACACAUGUUCACAUCAAAACUUGUACAUGAAUGUUUAUAGCAAUAUUAUCGUAAUAGCCAAGAGUAAGAAACAACCAAAUGUCCACCAACUAAUGAAUGGAUAAGGAAAAUGUAGUACAUCCACAUAAAGAAAUAUUAUCCAGAAAUAAAAGGAGAAGUUCUGAUGUGUGCUACCA
rnacentral:lncRNA from 13 species